rnacentral:rRNA from 1 species
AUAGCUUGCUAUCAAUGCUGACGAGCGGCGGACGGGUGAGUAAUGCCUGGGAAUAUGCCCUGAUGUGGGGGAUAACUAUUGGAAACGAUAGCUAAUACCGCAUAAUCUCUUCGGAGCAAAGAGGGGGACCUUCGGGCCUCUCGCGUCAUGAUUAGCCCAGGUGGGAUUAGCUUGUUGGUGGGGUAAUGGCUCACCAAGGCAACGAUCCCUAGCUGGUCUGAGAGGAUGAUCAGCCACACUGGAACUGAGACACGGUCCAGACUCAUACGGGAGGCAGCAGUGGGGAAUAUUGCACAAUGGGGGAAACCCUGAUGCAGCCAUGCCGCGUGUAUGAAGAAGGCCUUCGGGUUGUAAAGUACUUUCAGUUGUGAGGAAGGCGUUGAUGUUAAUAGCUUCAGCGUUUGACGUUAGCAACAGAAGAAGCACCGGCUAACUCCGUGCCAGCAGCCGCGGUAAUACGGAGGGUGCGAGCGUUAAUCGGAAUUACUGGGCGUAAAGCGCAUGCAGGUGGUCUGUUAAGCAAGAUGUGAAAGCCCGGGGCUCAACCUCGGAACAGCAUUUUGAACU